UACAGAGGGUGCAAGCGUUAAUCGGAUUUACUGGGCGUAAAGCGCGCGUAGGCGGCUAAUUAAGUCAAAUGUGAAAUCCCCGAGCUUAACUUGGGAAUUGCAUUCGAUACUGGUUAGCUAGAGUGUGGGAGAGGAUGGUAGAAUUCCAGGUGUAGCAGUGAAAUGCGUAGAGAUCUGGAGGAAUACCGAUGGCGAAGGCAGCCAUCUGGCCUAACACUGACGCUGAGGUGCGAAAGCAUGGGGAGCAAACAGG
rnacentral:rRNA from 1 species